rnacentral:lncRNA from 1 species
ACAUAUGGACCAUACUUAAUCUAGUCAAAACCGAAGGACAGAAAUAUUUAAUGCAAAUUGUAAAGAGUAUCACAUUAUGUCAUUCAAACUAGUUCUGCUUGUGAAUUGUCUGCAUGACAUAAAAAGAUGGUAAAAAAAGAUAUGCAUAACAUUGAUUUUUAUUACACCUUCUUCAAAAUUUAUAGAUAUAUAAGAUUUGUUUUCUUUUUUAUUACAAAAAAAUCGCAUGCACAAUUUUACCUAUAACGCAUAAAUUGCACACAUCAAGGGUUUGAAUGUUUACAUAAAGGUUCAUUGUGUGUGACUGUAAUAACGAUUGAAUGAGAAAUACAUUAUUAUUAGAGUGCUUUGUGUAUACAUAAUUAACGUGCCAAAAGACAAACAUUAACGCUGACAAAAAAUAGGAUUACAAUCAUUUGUUAAAGACGGUUUCUCCCUUCUUCUGAUGAUAAUGGUGUCGAUGCACAAACUUCAUAUACAAAAAUAUCUUUGAAAAAUGUCGCUAGCAGAUAAAACAGUUUUUACUCAUGGUUGUAUUGAAUUUCUCUUUUGCUUGGUGUACAGUGUUUUUAACAACUAAAUUAUAUAUGUAUUCAAGUAUUGCUUGCUACGCACUCUUCAAGGGCUAGAAGCGUUUCCCAUGUACCCUCUUAUAGUCCAAUGACUACAAAAUAAUUAAAUGGUUAAUUAUCUUAUUGUUAGAUUCUUGUUUUUACUCUUUAUCGAAAAAGGCCAUUUUUGAUUAUUUUUAAGUGUUAAACAUUAGCCUAACGAUAUAUAUUUGAUAUCUAUUUUGUCAUCUUUUCUCUUGUAUUGAUUUACAAUUACUCUGUAGAUAUUUGAGUUUAAGGGGGGAACUUCUAAAACAAGUUAAUCAUAUGCACCUUUUUGUGUGUAUUUUAAGAAAUCCAGACUGUCAUGAAGUAAUUAUGAUAUCGAUUUGUCUCCAAGACACUGGCAAUCAAAGCCGUAAAUGGUUCAACACAUUUCCAGUAUGCGACAGAUCUUAAAGACACUGGCAAUCAAAGCCGUAAUUGGUUCAACACAUUGCCAGUAUGCGACAGAUCUUAAAGACACUGGCAAUCAAAGCCGUAAUUGGUUCAACACAUUGCCAGUAUGAGACAGAUCUUAAAAUAUUGCAUCUUUUACAUAUAACAACUGGUGAAAUCAAUUACAAAUUUUGAACACCAGACCUGACCAUUUCCAGCGAACGCCUAGUCGUUUAUCAAUUAACCAGCAGUUGAAGGGAAAUUUCUUCGAAUAAAGUGUAGCUCCUUUUUGUUUGUUUCAAGCCUUAGUUACAUAUUGAAUCAUAAAUAAGGCUGUUUAUAUAUAGGAUAUGUAUGUAAUCUGAAGAAUAACUUGUUUUUAUGCUGAAAGUGAAAACGUAUUUCGUUCGGGGUGAUUCUGAAAUCAGAGUACGAAAUCUGUUCUUGAUUUCUGUAAAAAGUGUCAGUCAAUUUUUAUAUAGCUGAUACAAUUAAAAGUAUACGAACUAUGCCAAUGAGAAAAGAAGAAAAUAUCUAUAACAGUUAAACAGUCUUGUUUUUCUUUUGGUUAGAUCAUUCAAGCUGAUUUAUAGUCAGAACCUCUGAUUCAAAUAGUGAAUGCAAGGAUAUGUUUAUCAAAAGAAACAAUAGAUGAUGAAAACACAAUCAUCCACAUGAACGCCAAAAUACUUUCCCAUAGCUGAAUAUUUCCUGGAUGUGUUUCUUGUCCUUAUUAUAUCUGAGAUGAUUUUGAUUUUAAUUGUUAUAUCAUUAAAAGCAAUACACAACUUUUUUUGUUAUAGAAGUUUAAUAUAAUAACACAAUUUUGAAAUAUCGUUUUGAAUACUUUUUUCCGUGGUUGUUGUCAGAUGCCAUUGAAGAUGUCAGAAUCAGUGUAUUAGUUCACAAAGUUGAAUGAGGUUAAGCGACCUUUUAAACAUCUUACCGUGUAUCAAAUAUCACUAAAAGAGUGGAUAACAUAUACUGGUAUUUACUUUGAAUUUCUCGAAGUAUCGAUAUGUGUAAAUAGAAUUGUUUGUCAAUCCAAAAAAAAAAAAAUGCUUUUUAAACUUUUUCUCUAAAUGAUUAUAAUAAUUAUGAAUACUAUUUUUUUUAAAGAACAGCAA